AAAGAUUAAGCCAUGCAAGUGUCAGUACAAGCUUAAUUAAAGUGAAACCGCGAAUGGCUCAGUAAAUCAGUUAUGGUUCAUUUGAUGAAUCAAUGGUCACGUGGAUAACUGUGGCAAUUCCAGAGCUAAUACAUGCACUAGAGUCCCAACCUUGCGGAAGGGACGCUUUUAUUAGUCAACAAAACCAAACCACGGUUGGGCAGCAAUGUCCUUCCGAAACUCCCUGUGGUGAACCUGGAUAACAUUGAACAGAUCGCACGGCCUUCGAGCCUGGCGACGCAUCAUUCAAAUGCCUGCUCUAUCAACUUUGAUGGUCGGUUAUACGCCUACCAUGGUGUUGACGGGUGACGGGGAAUCAGGGUUCGAUUCCGGAGAGGGAGCCUGAGAAACGGCUACCACAUCCAAGGAAGGCAGCAGGCGCGCAAAUUACCCACUCCCAGCACGGGGAGGUAGUGACGAAGUAUAACGAUACGGGACUCCCAUCCGAGGCCCCGUGAUCGGAAUGAGACUGGUUCAGAGAACUGGUGCGAGUAUCAAUCGGAGG
rnacentral:rRNA from 1 species